GUGGGCACAACCACUUGUUAGGGAGAAACGAUGCGCGGAUCUGAGGAGCCACGACCAUAGGAGCGCGGCGUGCUCUCCAUGGUAGAGGUGCCCAGGGGACUGAGGAAGAGGGGGCAAGAGAAGGGCUCACUGGAGGAACGACGGCGUACACAGCGCAAACUCCUCCACACAGCGAUGAACGUGCGAUGACGGCGACUGCUGUACAGGGACGACGAGCAUGGCAUAAGCACGGGAACGAGG
rnacentral:lncRNA from 7 species